rnacentral:rRNA from 1 species
UACGAAGGGUGCUAGCGUUGUUCGGAAUUACUGGGCGUAAAGCGCGCGUAGGCGGCUAUUCAAGUCAGAGGUGAAAUCCCUGGGCUCAACCCAGGAAUUGCCUUUGAAACUGUAUAGCUUGAGUGUCGGAGGGGAUAGCGGAAUUGCUAAUGUAGAGGUGAAAUUCGUAGAUAUUAGCAGGAACACCGGUGGCGAAGGCGGCUAUCUGGACGACAACUGACGCUGAGGCGCGAAAGCGCGGGGAUCAAACAGG